UCUCGCCAUGCGCGAGGGUGUACGGGUGCGGGUGCUGUCAUCAUUCGCGGAAACGGAUGACGACAGCGGUUCGAUUGUGGUUGAUGAGGAC
rnacentral:tRNA from 1 species